ensembl:lncRNA
GGAGUUAAAGAGAAAUGUUCCUUGUAACAUUCUCACGUGUAAAAGAGCAUUUUCGUCAACUUUUUCAUAACUUCUAUCAUCGGGCGAUGUUUGUUUAGUGACCUUCCACUGACUUUAUUAUUAUUAUUAUUUUAUCAUUUGCUGUAAACUAAAUUAGCCUUUAUUCCUCUCGCGGAUUAUUGCAUUGUAGCUGUAAAAUCCCUAAUGUUUUACUACUUAAUUAUUACAGGGUUCUACAUGGCCUGGCUUUGUAAUGUCGGAAAUUAAAGAACGCUUUUGUGAUAAAACGUGAUUAAAAAGUUAGAAUCCAGAACAUUUUUUCUCUAUACAUUAAAUGUUGUAAUGUUUGAUUCUAAGUCGAAAUACAAAAAACAAACCUCCUAAAAUCUUUAUUUUUGAUUAAAUUCACAGCAAUGCCGUAAAUGACUUACAAAUAGGACCAUAGAAUAUUUGUUUUACGUUAUGUAUGGGUGUUAUUAAUGAUGUUAUUAAUGAUGUUAUUAAUGGUGUUAUUAAUGAUGUUAUUAAUGGCGUUAUUAAUGAUGACAAUCAUAUCGCUGACACCUACUAAAUCGAUUUUAAUUGAACAAACAGAAAAAAACAGCGCCGCCUAAAUAGUGUCUAACUGAGAUGACCGUCGUUUGAUAAAAUUCAAUCCAUUACAAUUUAAAUGAAAUGUUAUUUUUUGCGGUAACAUUUAUUAUUUUCUCUCUAACGAAUGAAACGGAAAGCAAGAGACCAGCUUUUGAUUUGCAUUUCUAAUGUAUCGUGGUUGAUUCUCACCAUCGCGUCUUAUUUUUCUCGUCCCGACGGGACGACGGGUAAAGACGAACCGUGACUCAUUUCUCAAGAUGCUCAUUUUGAUAAAUAAGUUCUGUGGUUUUGUAAUUAUUUUUGGCAUUUCAUUAGCCUGCAGGCCUUUUUGUUGAGCCAUUAAAACAUCGGGCCAUAACUCAGCUGAGCUCUGUUUCUAAUUCUCACAUGCUCUGGAAUAUUUUAUUUUCUCUUUUUAACAAAUAACCCGUUCUAAUUUUUCAUUGGAAUUGGACAUUUCAAAUAAAAUAAAUUGAGUUUUUGAUGGAAAAAUAUAAAUUUGAAUUAAAAUGAAAUGAGUAAAACGAAUUUCAGUCCAACCCGCUGUGCCUGUUGACAUGAUGUCAGCAGUGAUUGAAUAUAGAGGCAGAAUUAUCUAUUGUAUUUGUGUGAUCACGUCAAUAACCUCCACAUUCCAAGUUGAAAACCAUAGGCUUGCGUGAGACAUCUUGACAUUCAGACAGGUGUUUGAGCUUUGAACGAGAUCUUGUACCUUCGCUGUCAUUGAAGACAAAACCAAUACUAUUAAUAGAAAUGAAACAACUAUCCCAAAAAGUAACUCUCCCCUUGUUUGUGUCUUGAAGCUGAUUCACUUCCGAUGUUUUGCUUGCUUAGGACGCAGGCUGCUGGUACGUCCUGUAUGAGAAUAUUCUGGGCCCUCGAGGGCAGCUGUAACUUGUUAGAAAAUAGAGCUCACAUGGUCGCAUGAGUCUCCGCGCUAACCUGCCAUGUGACUGCUGUAAUGGGCCUCGCCAUGGCUGAGUCAACCACUGGGUCACAAGAAGCCCGUUUCCUGCGGCUGCGUGGGGGAGAGGAUGGGAGGAGGUCUCAUGAUCAGCCGAGGGGGGGUCAAAGAGUCAGCCUUUCAGGUGCACCUUAGUCACGGCUGUUUGUUUUUUUUCCUCUUUUCACGUGUGAUCCGUUUGGGAGGGUUGAGUUCAAGGCCGAAUGUUUUUUAUAUCGUUUCAGAUGGAAAGAAUGAAGCGGUCAGGUUGGAAGGAAGGACAAAGGGAGUGGAGGCGGAAGGGAAACGCCUUUUUCUUCUUUUUUUUUUGCUGUGGCCUUAAUACUUGAACAUCCCCCAGGGGAAAUUCCUGAAAUCUGACGAUGGAUGGAGAAAAAAAAAGGCGAGACACAGAUAGUGAGUGUGUGUGUGUGUGUGUGUGUGUGUGUUUCUGUGUGUGUGUGCGCGCGUGUGUGUGUGAGAGGGCGUCAGAUAAGACAAGCGUGCACAGCGGUCAAAUAUUCACAUGCUGGGUCACAUUCUGCAUUAAACUGAUGUAUAAUUGGUGGAAAGCAUUCAUUCCAUGUCAAUAGGCACAUUUUUGGCCUGAAAUGAAUGCCAUCAGUUGUUCCCAAUGACGGGUCUGAAAUCGCAAGUCAGAAAUGGCGAGGAUUGGAGCUGGACCAUGUUCCCUUCCUUCUCUCCGGGGCUCCCAGUUUUCAUCACAAAAUGUCCCCGUCAUUCCCGAGGUGUGAAGGGGAAUUCCGGCUUUGCAAUGAGACUAUCAAUAAUACCGAACCUCAUGUGGCUGAAAUAUUUAGACUUUCACAUCGUCCGGUGCAUGUGAUGAAGAGAAGCUCUCCUCCAGCUGAUGACCGAGACCUGUGCUGUGAUUUCACGAGAUAUCCUCGGUACGGGAGACGACAUCGCUGUGGCCGCCUGAGAGGACUUGUGUGUCCGGAGCCGUCGGGGAUUGGCCGCGUGUCAUCCUGGGUCUUCAGAAGGAACAGUGAAGGAACGUUGUGUUGGGGACUUGGGGAUGAGAGGUUUGGGGACCCGUUGAGUGGCUCAGAAUCAUGCUUUUAUUAUUGAAUCAUGCUCGGAGGAGAUUCUGGCAAAUGUGCAUCACACUGAGGGCUGCAGGUGUUUUCAAGCCGAGCGAUGAUGAUGCUGCGACACGCAUCCAUGGCGAUGAAUAAAAAAUGAUUCUGCUAUCUGACCCCUGUCACUCCUUUUCUUUUUUCUUCCCAUUUUCACCCACUAAAUUAGUGCAGCUGCACCACACUUAAAUGGGUGCCCCUCUUUUUUCUUCUUCCUCUGGGAGUGUAUGUGACCGACCAUGAAUCCUCUCUUUGUGCUGCGUCUGCAGAGCCCCCCUCCCCUACCACCACCACCACCACCCACCCCCCCACUAUAGUUUCUUGCCGUCUCUGGCUUUUUUUAUUUGGGAGAAGAGGGGCUUCGGUUGCAACGGCGGCAGCACUGGUGAGGUGGUGGUGGUGGCGACGGAGCGGGUAACUUGUUGG